rnacentral:rRNA from 1 species
GACGAACGCUGGCGGCGUGCUUAACACAUGCAAGUCGAACGAAAAUACCAAGCUUGCUUGGUUGAUUAGUGGCGAACGGGUGAGUAACACGUGAGUAACCUGCCCCUUACUUUCUGGAUAACUGCUCGAAAGGGUAGCUAAUACGGGAUAUUCUGACCGGCCUGCAUGGGCUGGUUUGGAAAGGUUUUUCUCUGGUGAGGGAUGGGCUCGCGGCCUAUCAGCUUUUGGUGGGGUGAUGGCCUACCAAGGCUUUGACGGGUAGCCGGCCUGAGAGGGUGGACGGUCACACUGGGACUGAGAUACGGCCCAGACUCCUACGGGAGGCAGCAGUGGGGAAUAUUGCACAAUGGGCGCAAGCCUGAUGCAGCGACGCCGCGUGAGGGAUGAAGGCCUUCGGGUUGUAAACCUCUUUCGUCAGGGAACAAGGCACUGCUUUGGUGGUGU